UACGUAGGGGGCAAGCGUUGUCCAGACUCAUUGGGCGUAAAGCGCGUGUAGGCGGUUCGAUAAGUCUGCUGUGAAAGUCCAGGGCUCAACCCUGGAAAGCCGGUGGAUACUGUCGGACUAGAGUGCGGAAGAGGCGAGUGGAAUUCCCGGUGUAGCGGUGAAAUGCGCAGAUAUCGGGAGGAACACCAAUUGCGAAGGCAGCUCGCUGGGACGUUACUGACGCUGAGACGCGAAAGCGUGGGGAGCAAACAGG
rnacentral:rRNA from 1 species